UGAUGACGUCAGGAACUCUGGAACUACAGU
rnacentral:piRNA from 1 species